CAUUGUGAAAAGUUUGAAACAUUACAAAGUUUUGAAUUUGAGUUGAGUUUGAGAAGAAUAAUGGCCUUUAGUCAAAUUCAAAAAUGUGUUGUGAUGACCUUGGUGAUAAUGUUAGUUAUCAUACAAGCUGAAUGUAAUGCUCAAUCUGAAGAUUUUAAGUUAAACAAGGUUGAUGAACCUUGGUGUACAAUGAAGUGUAACUUAGUGUGUGCUGGAAAGCGUCUAGUUGAGGAUUUUAACGCGUGCGUGGCAGCUUGUAAAAAAUCCAAAUGCUGAGAAAAACAUUGAGAAGAUUCUUUGCAUAAUCAAGGUGCUUGUGCAUGCGAUGGAUACAAUUGCAGCGUAAUAAAUAUAUAUUUCGUACCUUUUACGAGAUAUGUUAGUUAAGAAAGUGUAAUCAUAAAGUUGACAUUAUGUCAAAUUUAAAUAAAUUUAUUAUUAUUUAUAAA